GUUCAUUAAAUUAGUCACUUGGACUUUCCGUAGUGGAGCUGAAGGUCACUUGCCAUAACUGUCAGCCAGGAAAGAGGCAUCUCUAGGGGUAGUUUCAGAGCCACUGUCUCCUUGAGUGGGAGGAGGCUCGAUCCUCCCACCAUGUUGCUGCCCUGGACAGCGCGUGCGCGUUCCUGCCUUCCAACGGGAAGGCAGGAGCGCCCUCCCAGAGGCCACAAGUUCCCCAGUGGCAACUCAGGCUUCCAUCCCUGACAGGCCAAGGCAAUUGCCUAAGCAGCUUUUUAUGCUUCAUUUUUUCCAGCUAGAAAAACAAGGACACUUCACUUCCUCACAGGGGUGAUCUGAGGACAUAUCAGCCAAUUUCUGAAAACCACCUAAAGAGUUUGACCAGAAGAGGUAAGAAUGGUCACUGUUCAUCCAGAAGCGCCAAGAUUCAAUAACAACGAUAACAACUCUAUCUACAAAACAAAUCACCAUUGAAAGCCAACCCAGGUCUCGUUAUAUAAUGUUUCAUUUCCAAGCUGGAACUUUAGUAUUAUGAGGCAAUAAAAACAAAACACAACGGAAUCCUAAACUCGAUGUUCUCUUGGCCCUGUGUCUCGCUUGCAGUGGUGGGUGGACUCCGUAAUUACAGUGGUGGUGAAGUCCCCAGCUUUGUCUCAAUUGGGCAGGCAGGAUUAGCAAAGGCAGUCAUUGGGGAGAGGGUUCCAAUGGCUUUCCUGGCAGCACGGUCACGAUUCAGCAGAAGAAGAAAGUGCCAGAAAGCCAGACACUACAAGAAGAGACUGAUAAAAAACAUUGUUUUGUAUGUCUCUUACAGCUGGCAUCUGGAGACGGCAACGAAGUUUCAAAACUGUGGAAGGGAAGACGCAGGUAUUCUCGUCAUUUGAGCCUGGUUGAUAGUAAGGACUCCUGAAUCAGAAAACCCUGAUUUUGAACCCAACUGUAAUACUUAUGGCCAUGGCCAUUGGUAAGUUGAGUAAGGCUCCGGUUUGCCCAUUUCUUUCAUUUUCUUUCCUUUUUUUUUUUUUUGCUUUUUAGGGCCGAACCUAAAAACGCAUAUGGAGGUUCCCAGGCUAGGGGUCAAAUCGGAGCUAUAGGUGCCAGCCUACACCACAGCCACAGGAAUACGGGAUCCAAGCUGCAUCAGCUUAGGGCAGCGCCAGAUCCCUAAUGCACUUAGCGAGGCCAGGGAUCAAACCCACAUCCUCGUGGAUUCCAGUGGGAUUCAGUUCAGCUGCACCAUGAAGGUAACUCCCCAGGUUGCCCAUUUCUAAAAUGAGGUCUAAUAAUCCCUAAUUUACAGCUUUGCCCUGGGGAUUAAGUGUAAAACAUGCAUAGAAUCUGUGUGGCUCCGUGCCUGCCACCCAGUAGGGACUUGCUCAUCCAGCAUCUAUUAUUUAUUACAAACGCAAAUUGGGGGGGGGGGGNGGGGGGGGGGGGGUAAGCGCACUGUGCAGUUUGCCCUGCUCCCUCUGGGAGUGACCCUGGGUGCACACUUGCCUAUAAAUUACUCCAGGAGGUUUGACAAACGGCUGCAGG
rnacentral:lncRNA from 1 species